CCUACGGGUGGCAGCAGUGGGGAAUAUUGCGCAAUGGGCGAAAGCCUGACGCAGCGACGCCGCGUGAGGGAUGAAGGUCUUCGGCGCGUAAAGCCCUGUCAGCAGGGAAGAAAAUGACGGUACCUGAAGAAGAAGCACCGGCUAAAUACGUGCCAGCAGCCGCGGGCAUACGUAGGGGGCAAGCGUUAUCCGGAUUUGCUGGGGGUAAAGGGGGCGCAGACGGGGUAGCAAGCCAGGAGUGAAAGCCCGGGGCCCAACCCCGGGACUGCUGUUGGAACUGGGUGGCUGGAGUGCAGGAGGGGCAGGCGGAAUUCCUGGUGUAGCGGUGAAAUGCGUAGAUAUCAGGAGGAACACCGGUGGCGAAGGCGGCCUGCUGGACUGCAACUGACGUUGAGGCCCGAAAGCGUGGGGAGCAAACAGGAUUAGAUACCCUGGUAGUC
rnacentral:rRNA from 1 species